AGUCUUCUCUUGGUUGCCUUAGGAUCUGGGUGUAGACCUCUCAGCUCUUUCUCUAGUACCAUGUCUGCCUGGAUGCUGCCAUGCUUCCCACCAUGAUGAUAACGGACGGAACUUUUCAAACUGGAACUGGAGACUCUGAAAUCACACUGCUCUGAAAAGGCAUCCGACCGACAUCCGUCACCUAUUUCACAGGUGGCAAGGAGGCCGUGCUGUGUGAAAAGGAUUAAUAAUCAACUGGGCUUGGAGGAGAAAUGGAAGAAGACAGCGAUGCACCUCGAGGCCCACACACUUGCAUCCAGCUAUGUCAUCAAGUGCGUGGCUUAACUCUGGCUGGCUCCAGAAGACUCCCCGAAGGAUCAUGUAGAAUUUUUUUUAGCAUAUUUUAAAUUAUACAUCGAGUUCUCCCCAAAGAACAGUUCCGUUAAUUGCUAGUGUUAAAAGCUAGAAUCGCAGUGCUUUUCUUACAUCACAGAGCUUGUCUCAACACAAGUAUCUUCUUUACAUAAUCUCAUAUUAAGGAAUAAUUUUAAAAACAAUAAACCUGAAAUAUCUCCAAGGA